rnacentral:rRNA from 1 species
UACGUAGGGGUGCGAGCGUUUUUUUUUUUUUUUUUUUUUUAACGGAAUUUUCUUGGGCGUAAAGUGUGCGCAGGCGGCCGAGCAAGUUCGAGUGUGAAAGCCCCCCGAGCUUUAACUUGGGAAUUGCGCUCGAAACUACUUUUGGCUAGAGUGUGGCAGAGGGGGAGGUGGAAUUUCCACGUGUAGCGGUGGAAUUGCGUAGAGAUCCGGAAGAACACCGGUUGGCGAAGGCGGCCUGACUGGGCAGUAGCUGACGCUGAUUGCGCGACAGCGAUGGGGAGCAACAGGGAUUUAGAUUAACCCUAGUAGGUCCAAGAC